CCCUUAGAUGUCCUGGGCCGCACGCGUGCUACACUGACGCCUACAGCGAGUACUUCCCAGCCCCGAGAGGUGGCUGGUAAUCAGCAAUAGGCGUCGUGAUGGGGAUAGAUCUUUGGAAUUAUGGAUCUUGAACGAGGAAUGCCUAGUAAGCGCAGGUCAUUAGCCUGCGCUGAUUAAGUCCCUGCCCUUUGUACACACCGCCCGUCGCUCCUACCGAUUUCGAGUGGUCCGGUGAAUCUUUCGGACUGCGCGCGGCCUCGUGUCGUGUCGCGGAAAGUCAGGUAAACCUUAUCACUUAGAGGAAGGAGAANUCGUAACA
rnacentral:rRNA from 1 species